UACUAAUUCACGCUCUUGAAAAGAAGAGCAAUGGGCAUGUUUGAGGUGUUCAGGAUAGCGUUUAUACUGGUAGCCUUUUGGUGAGGGAAGCAAGAAUGAUGUCGGCCACAGAUGGAAAUCCUAGCAAUUCCUGUGCUGCUCAGCUUUGUGCAGUAGUGAUACGCAGUAGCUGUACCACAGCUCACAGAUGCUCCAGUGGCAUUGCAGAGGCUUUGCAGACUUGUAGGAGGAAGGUCACAGCCUCUUUUUCUCUUCUUAAAUGCUGGUUCCAGUUCCCUUGUAUUUCAAAGGUGAAUUUCCUCUUGAUAGCAAAGUUGAUACAGAAGUUAUGAAAUCUUUCACAGUAGUUUCUCUGUAACGUGCUAUUUUCAUUUGUCCUUUGUACUGCAAGGGAGAAUACAAAGUUUGCUUUUUGUUUCACAAUAGAUCUGAUGCAUUAAUAGUGAGCUUUGGAUCAGUCCCAGGUAUGGUUUACUGCUGGCAGCUUCACACUCCUCCAGAGAAUGAUUUGGCAAGCUUCCUAGCACCCUGAGAAGAUAUGUAUUCAGGCUCUCAGUUCUC
rnacentral:lncRNA from 1 species